rnacentral:rRNA from 1 species
UGGGGAAUAUUGCACAAUGGGCGCAAGCCUGAUGCAGCCAUGCCGCGUGUGUGAAGAAGGCCUUCGGGUUGUAAAGCACUUUCAGUGGGGAGGAAGGCGUUAAGGUUAAUAACCUUGGCGAUUGACGUUACCCGCAGAAGAAGCACCGGCUAACUCCGUGCCAGCAGCCGCGGUAAUACGGAGGGUGCAAGCGUUAAUCGGAAUUACUGGGCGUAAAGCGCACGCAGGCGGUCUGUCAAGUCGGAUGUGAAAUCCCCGGGCUCAACCUGGGAACUGCAUUCGAAACUGGCAGGCUAGAGUCUUGUAGAGGGGGGUAGAAUUCCAGGUGUAGCGGUGAAAUGCGUAGAGAUCUGGAGGAAUACCGGUGGCGAAGGCGGCCCCCUGGACAAAGACUGACGCUCAGGUGCGAAAGCGUGGGGAGCAAACAGG